UAUUACAAUGAAGAGUUUGAUCCUGGCUCAGGAUGAACGCUAGCUACAGGCUUAACACAUGCAAGUCGAGGGGCAGCAUGGUCUUAGCUUGCUAAGGCCGAUGGCGACCGGCGCACGGGUGAGUAACACGUAUCCAACCUGCCGUCUACUCUUGGACAGCCUUCUGAAAGGAAGAUUAAUACAAGAUGGCAUCAUGAGUCCGCAUGUUCACAUGAUUAAAGGUAUUCCGGUAGACGAUGGGGAUGCGUUCCAUUAGAUAGUAGGCGGGGUAACGGCCCACCUAGUCUUCGAUGGAUAGGGGUUCUGAGAGGAAGGUCCCCCACAUUGGAACUGAGACACGGUCCAAACUCCUACGGGAGGCAGCAGUGAGGAAUAUUGGUCAAUGGGCGAGAGCCUGAACCAGCCAAGUAGCGUGAAGGAUGACUGCCCUAUGGGUUGUAAACUUCUUUUAUAAAGGAAUAAAGUCGGGUAUGCAUACCCGUUUGCAUGUACUUUAUGAAUAAGGAUCGGCUAACUCCGUGCCAGCAGCCGCGGUAAUACGGAGGAUCCGAGCGUUAUCCGGAUUUAUUGGGUUUAAAGGGAGCGUAGAUGGAUGUUUAAGUCAGUUGUGAAAGUUUGCGGCUCAACCGUAAAAUUGCAGUUGAUACUGGAUAUCUUGAGUGCAGUUGAGGCAGGCGGAAUUCGUGGUGUAGCGGUGAAAUGCUUAGAUAUCACGAAGAACUCCGAUUGCGAAGGCAGCCUGCUAAGCUGCAACUGACAUUGAGGCUCGAAAGUGUGGGUAUCAAACAGGAUUAGAUACCCUGGUAGUCCACACGGUAAACGAUGAAUACUCGCUGUUUGCGAUAUACUGCAAGCGGCCAAGCGAAAGCGUUAAGUAUUCCACCUGGGGAGUACGCCGGCAACGGUGAAACUCAAAGGAAUUGACGGGGGCCCGCACAAGCGGAGGAACAUGUGGUUUAAUUCGAUGAUACGCGAGGAACCUUACCCGGGCUUAAAUUGCAGAUGAAUUACGGUGAAAGCCGUAAGCCGCAAGGCAUCUGUGAAGGUGCUGCAUGGUUGUCGUCAGCUCGUGCCGUGAGGUGUCGGCUUAAGUGCCAUAACGAGCGCAACCCUUGUUGUCAGUUACUAACAGGUUCUGCUGAGGACUCUGACAAGACUGCCAUCGUAAGAUGUGAGGAAGGUGGGGAUGACGUCAAAUCAGCACGGCCCUUACGUCCGGGGCUACACACGUGUUACAAUGGGGGGUACAGAGGGCCGCUACCACGCGAGUGGAUGCCAAUCCCAAAAACCUCUCUCAGUUCGGACUGGAGUCUGCAACCCGACUCCACGAAGCUGGAUUCGCUAGUAAUCGCGCAUCAGCCACGGCGCGGUGAAUACGUUCCCGGGCCUUGUACACACCGCCCGUCAAGCCAUGGGAGCCGGGGGUACCUGAAGUGCGUAACCGCGAGGAGCGCCCUAGGGUAAAACUGGUGACUGGGGCUAAGUCGUAACAAGGUAGCCGUACCGGAAGGUGCGGCUGGAACACCUCCUUUCU
rnacentral:rRNA from 1 species